GGGGCAAGUUCACCACUCUCGAAGGACUGCUGAAAGACAUCCGAGAAUUGGUAACCAAAAACCCAUUCACGCUGGGCGACAGCUCCAAUCCUGACCAGUCAGAGAAACUGCAGGAGUUUAGCCAGAAGUUGGGCCAGAUCAUCGAGGGCAAGAUGAAAGCCCACUUUAUCAUGAAUGAUCCAGCAGGAAACAGUUACCUGCAGAACGUGUAUGCACCUGAAGAUGACCCGGAGAUGAAGGUAGAGCGGUACAAGCGCUCCUUUGACCAAAAUGAGGAGCUCGGCCUCAAUGACAUGAAGACAGAGGGCUAUGAGGCAGACCUGGCCCCACAGCGGUAGCAGUGGGCAGCCCACAGGCCAGCUGCAGGGCACUCACACUGCAGGGUUCUUUGUUACUGUUGGAGAAGGCUGAGUGUUCAAGCCCUCCUCCGUGGUGAGGAGGAAACCACCUGAGUUAGAAAUCUAAGCACACGAGGUUAGCAGCUGACAAUGAUGCGGCUGCAGGCCUACUGUGCUUCUUGACCUUCCUUUGGCGGUUUUAAGUCAGUGUGAGAAGAACGCCACAAACACCAUGCGUCUGCCAUCACCUUUUGUCUGUCAGCUCUCUGGCCUCCAGUGCUGGACCUUUGAAGUCUGAAGUGUGGAGAAGCGAAAUACAAGUUGCAGCUGGCUUUGGGCUUAUGCAGUGCUAACUUUCAGCAUAGAAGAAUGACUGAGGGCAGGCACAGGUAAAGGAGCUUACAUUAAAGUGAUGGCUUUUAAACAA
rnacentral:lncRNA from 1 species